CUGCCGGCUACAGUGUAGUGCACGUUGGACAUGAGUGAGGUUCCCGAAGUGGUAGUGGAACAUUGCAAUGGUGUGGAGACUGAAGCCGAGGCCACGGACGAGGCGAACCAGAACGGAGAUGACGGAUUGGCCAUUGAUCCCAAACUGGGCUGCCGUGUUCAUUUCCCGAGUGACGUCAUAAGAGAAACGUAAGUGCUUGCAAACUUCCUACGAGUUCAGAAACUCAUAUGUGAAAUCGAUGCGACGUCGUGGAAACGGUAAGUAAGCAAUAUAUUCAGUAAAAAUCACCAUCAUCUACCAACUUUGUUGAAGUUGACUCUUUGUUUACUAAAACACAAAUCUUUUAACUUCAGU